CAGGACGAACGCUGGCGGCGUGCCUAAUACAUGCAAGUCGAACGGUCUUUCUAUGGAAGCUGCUUCCACUGAGAAGAUAGUGGCGAACGGGUGAGUAACACGUGGGUAACCUGCCCAUAAGAGGGGGAUAACAUCCGGAAACGGGUGCUAAUACCGCAUAGUUUUCUUGAUCGCAUGAUUGAGAAAGGAAAGACGGCCUUUGUGCUGUCGCUUAUGGAUGGACCCGCGGCGUAUUAGUUAGUUGGUGAGGUAACGGCUCACCAAGACGAUGAUACGUAGCCGACCUGAGAGGGUGAUCGGCCACAUUGGGACUGAGACACGGCCCAAACUCCCACGGGAGGCAGCAGUAGGGAAUCUUCCGCAAUGGACGAAAGUCUGACGGAGCAACGCCGCGUGAGUGAAAGAAGGUUUUCGGAUCGUAAAACUCUGUUGUCAGAGAAGAACAAGUUGGAGAGUAACUGCUCCAGCCUUGACGGUAUCUGACCAGAAAGCCACGGCUAACUACGUGCCAGCCGCGGC
rnacentral:rRNA from 1 species